UAAAGAAGAUGUGGCUGAAUCCUACUCAGACAUAAAAAGAAUGGAAUCUUACUAUCUGCAACAACACGGAUGAAGCUUGAGGGUAUUAGGCCAUGUGAAAUAAGUCAGAAAGAGAAAG